rnacentral:lncRNA from 1 species
AUGGCCCAAGUGCUUGGGCCCUGCACCCCAUGGGAGACCAGGAUAAGUACCUGGCUCCUGCCAUUGGAUCAGCGUGGUGCGCCGACCGCAGCACACCGGCCACGGUGGCCAUUGGAGGGUGAACCAACGGCAAAGGAAGACCUUUCUCUCUGUCUCUCUCUCUCUCACUGUCCAUUCUGCCUGUCAAAAAAAAAAAAAAGGAUAGGUCCUGACAAUGACUGGGCUGGGGCGGGGCAGGGAGAGCAGAGGCAGAGGGGCCACGGCCGGUGCCCCAGAGAGAUGUGGGUGGCCGCAGGUGGCUCCCAAGAGUGGGGGGUGAGGUGCACGGACACAGCCAGGGGCCUCGGCACUCCCGGCACUGUCUCCCUGCAUCCUCACACCCUGAGCAGGUGCUGGCUGCCUCAUCCCCAGCUACAGAGCAGCAAACUGAGGUUGUGUCGGGAGCCACAUGGCCACCAGGAGGCAGAUCCCCCACCAAGGACAUCCAUCUGCCCAUCUUCCAAGACAGAGAGCGGUUCCAACCAGCAGCCAAACGCACCUUUCCCACUGCUCUGCCGGGCACGCUGGCUCCCAGUCUUGGGUCCACAGAAGCUAUCUGGCCUGGCUGCCCACACCCACCCGCUGCCAUCUCUCUGCAACUCCACCUCCCUCAGUCCGCCAGGCCUCAGCUCUGCUAACCCCCAGCACACUGGCCUAUGCCCACAGCCAGAUCCUCACGAGCACCUAAAGCAGAAGAGAAAGCCAGCGUGUGCCCAUGGCCAGGGUAAGUCUGCAUGGGCCGAGGCCACGCCCCCCGCUGUUCCUGCAAGGACCCAGGGUUCCCACUCGGGUGGAAAGAGAAAAGAUCUCUUUGUGCCCGGGCUGGUGAAAGUGCGUCUGUUUAGAGCAGACUGCAAAGGGGGGGUGAUCAGACUUGGCUGCGGCUGCCCCCAGGGGAGGAGAGAGGUUUUGGGGAAGCACAGAGGGGAAGCACCCAGAGCAGUUGCUGCUUCCCCGAGAGGUGAGGCUAUCUGGGUGACGUUUGCAGGGACAGGGGAGGAGGGGGGCGCUUUGCUCGGUGUUUGGCGGAGUGGUUGGGGGGAGAGGGGAGCAAGUCUGCCCUUGAUGUUCGGGAUCAGGGGAGGGAGCAGAGGGCAGGAUUUUGCUCAGGAGUUCUGGGGGGAGUAUUUUUUUCCUCUUGGAGGAAAAAAAAAUAAAACAAAAUGA